rnacentral:tRNA from 14 species
CAACUGGUAGAGCACCUGAUUUGUAAUCAGUAGGUUGGGGGUUCAAGUCCCUUCACCA